rnacentral:pre_miRNA from 1 species
UAAAUACUCCCUUCGUCCGAAAAAACUUGUCCCAACCUUAUUUCUUAAAUGGAUGUAUCUAGCACUAACUUGGUGCUAGAUACAUCUAUUUGAGGGACAAGCUUUUUCGGACGGAGGGAGUAGUUG